rnacentral:rRNA from 1 species
UACGGAGGGUGCAAGCGUUGUCCGGAAUCACUGGGCGUAAAGGGCGCGUAGGCGGCUCAUGAAGGCUGUGGUGAAAGUCCGGGGCUCAACCUCGGAUCGGCCGUGGCGACUCGUGGGCUGGAGCACUGUAGAGGCGGGUGGAAUUCCGGGUGUAGCGGUGGAAUGCGUAGAGAUCCGGAAGAACACCAGUGGCGAAGGCGGCCCGCUGGGCAGUGGCUGACGCUGAGGCGCGAAAGCGUGGGGAGCGAACAGG